rnacentral:lncRNA from 1 species
GGAUAACGAAUCCAACUAGGAACCAUGAGGCCAGGGAUUGAACCCACGUCCUCAUGGAUACUAGUCAGUUUCACUAACUGCUGAGCCAUGACGGGAACUCUUCGACCAGGAGUUUUAAAUUAAGGUGUAUAACUGGGCUUCAGUAAAUCUUUAGAACUCCUGAAAUUAUAUAAAAUUUUAUGUGUAUGUACUUAGAAACAUUACUCUGGGAAGAAACUCCAUAGUCUUCACAAGAUACUUAAAGAGUUCUACAACUUAAAAAGUUAAGGAUUUUUGUAAUUAGGACUUUACCCAAAAGAGUCUGCUGGAUUUACUCCAGUUCGGGGUCAUGAAAGGAGAGGUAUCUUCCCAAAGAGCAUUUGGAGAAGGAGGGGCUCUUUUGUUCCUUUUAGGGAUUUCAGUUUUGAGAUUCUGAGUGCAUUUGAGAUGUGAAAGUAUGUGUUUAACAGUGGAGUUUUAAGAACUCUUCAACUCUUAGUAAGAUAUCCUGAUUUUAAUUGAGGGAUACAUUUUGGACUUCUUUCCAAUAUAAUCUUUUAGUUAAAUGAAUGGUUUUUUUUUUUUUUUAGAAAAUGAAAUAGAAAGGGAGUGGGAAAGGGGAGAAAGUUGUUAGACCUUCUUAGUAGAAUAAAUAACUGAAGAAAUUCCUGAAACUUAAAUUUUAUCACAGGUUAAAGAGGUUCCUUUAGAUCAGAUAAAAGUCUCUGGUAUAAGUUAUUUAAUAAUACAAACUGAUUUUUUUUUGUUUGUUUGUUUUGUAUACAGGUUUAAGGGGAUAGGAGAUGUGUAUAUUUCCCUGUUGUCUCCUUGUCCUAACCUUUGAUUAUGCUUCACUGAAGAGCAGGUAGUUAUAACUUAAACUUAUAGUUAUGUAUUUCUCACUAAGCUGUUACCUGUGGUUCUAGAUAGAUGAAUUAAGAAGUAAAAUUAGAUUUCUUAAUUUGAUAUAUUUUAAGUUCUUUAUUUUGAUCAGUAAUCUUUUAAUUCUAGCACUGUCAUACAUAAUAGUAUUACCUAUCAAAUAGGGUAUAGUGAGGAUUAGACAAAGUAAUAAAUAUAGUUUAGUGUUGUAUCUGGGAUUAAUAAAUGCUUAAUAAGUUAGCUAUUGCUGUAUUUGACAUCAUCAUGAACAUUAAUAGCAAUAGUAACAUACAUAUUAUAAGUUCCUAUGACUGAAUAUACAGAAUAAAAGCACCCAAAGACAUGAAAAAAUGGGAAGGUAAAGUUAAUUAGCCUCUUGUUUAGGAGAACAGAUUCCAGGGGUUGAGAGAGUUCCCUAUAAGGCAUGUUUAUCUUUCACUUGUGGUUUGACUGCAAUAUAGAUAACUUUUUCAGUGUGAGACAAAAUGUAGUUAAAUUGACCAUAAGCUUCAUAAGGGCAGGGACUGUGUUUUAUUUGCUUGUAUCCUUUGCUCUCAUUUUAUUGUUUGGCCAAGGCUGGUGUUUCAUUAAUUAUUUGUCUUCAUCUGUAUUUUCUUCUUCGUUUUCCCUUUAGUUUCCAAAAAUAUUUGCUGUUUCCAUAUUCAUAAUUCCUUACAAAAGGGUCACAUCAGUAAUAUGACUUUUAUAAGUACUGAUUAAAAUGUAGAUCUUUUUGGAGUUCCCAUCCUGGCUCAGUGGUUGACGAAUCUGACUAGGAACCAUGGGGUUUCUGGUUUGAUCCCUGGCCUUGCUCAGUGGGUUGAGGAUCCGAUGUUGCCAUGAGCUGUGGUAUAGGUUGCAGACAUGGCUUGGAACCUGUGUUGCUGUGGCUCUGGUGUAGGCUGGUGGCUACAGCUCCGAUUGGACCCCUAGCCUGGGAACCUCCAUGUGUCAUGGGUGAGGCCCUGGAAAAAGGCAAAAAGACAAAAAAAAUAAAUAAAUAAAAUAAAAUACAGAUCUUUUUUGGAACGAGGAUGUUUUUUGGAAGCAGAUUACUUGGAAAAUGAGACUUAAUCAGCUUAAGAAAUUCAGGCUUUAGACUUUUGUAGAAAGGCAAAUAUUGGUCUUAAAAAAUAAAAAACUUUAUCUUCAUUUGUGUACGAAUCAUGUAAUCACUGAUAUUUAACACUUGUUACCUUGUGUACUGCUUUAUGUAUAAUGAUGGAAAAAAUCUACUGACUGAAAAACGAUGUUUUCAAUUAGAUAUUUAAGAAGCACUUUUUACCUCUAUUUUAGAGAACUCUACAUAGCCCAACGAUAUUUACAACUUCAGGAAAUGUGAUGUUUUCGGAAAUGAAUUCUAGUCAUAUCAGACAGAUGACCAAAAAGCACAUGAAAAGAUGCUCAAUAUCACUAUUAUUAGAGAAAUACAAAUUAAAACUCCGCCAGUCAGAAUGGCCAUCAUCAAAAAUCUACACACAAUAAAUGCUGGAGAAGAUGUGGAGAAAAGGGAACCCUCCAACACCAAUGAUGGGAAUGUACAUUGCUGCAGCCACUGUGAAAAACAGUAUGGAGAUUCCUUUUAAAACUACCAUAUGCUCCAGCAAUCCCACUCCUGGGCAUCUAUCCAGAGAAAACCAUACUUUGAACAGAUACAUGCACUCCAGUGUUGAUUGCAGCACUGUUUUGUUUUUUUUUUUAAUUGUCUUUUUAGGGUCACACCUAUGACAUAUGGAAGUUCCCAGGCUAGAGGUCAAAUUGGAGCUGUAGCUGCCAGCCUAUACCACAGCCAUAGCAACACGAGAUCUGAGCCGCGUUUGCGACCUAUGCCACACCUCAUGGCAAUGCUGGAUCCUUAACCCCCUGAGUGAGGCCAGGGAUUGAAUGUGUGUCCUCAUGGACACUAGUUGGGUUCAUUCCCACUGAGCCACGAUGGGAACUCCUCACUGUAGCACUAUUUAUAUUAGCCAAGACUUGAAAGCAGCCUUAAUGUCCAACAGAGGAAUGGAUGAAGAAAAUUUGGUACAUGUACACAAUGGAAUAUUACUCAGCCAUAAAAAGAAUGAAACAGUGCCAUUUGCAGCAAUAUGGAUGGACCUAGAGAUUAUCAUACUAAGUGAAUGAAAUAAGUCAGACAGAAAAGACAAACAUCAUAUGAUAUCACUAACAAGUAGAAUCUGAUAAAGAAUGAUACAGGGGAAUUUGUUAACAAACCAGAAUCAGACUCAAAGAUUUUGAAACCAAACUUAUGGUUUUACUAAAGGGAAAACACGGCAGGGGAAGGAUAAAAUGGAAGGUUGAAAUUGACAUGUACACGCUACUGUAUAUGGAACAGAUGAGUAACAAGGACCUACCAUGUAGCACAGGGAAAUCUACUGAAUACUCUAUAGUGACCUAUAUGAGAAAAGAGCCCGAAAAGGAAUGGAUAUAUCUAUGUAACUGAUUGACGUUGCUGUACACUUGAAACUAGCACAAUAUUGUAAAUCAACUAUACUCCAAUAAAAUUUAAUUAAAAAAUAACAAAAAAAUACUGAUUGUAAAUAAGUAUGGCUAUGGUGACAAAAUUAGGUAAAUAGGAGUUCCUGUCGUGGCUCAGUGGUUAACGAAUCUGACUAGGAACCAUGAGGUUGUGGGUUCGAUCCCUGUCCUCGCUCAGUGGGUUAAGGAUCUGGCAUUGCUGUGAGCUGUGGUGUAGGUCGCAGACGUGGCUUGGAUCCGUCAUUGCUGUGGCUGUGGUGUACACUGGCGGCUACAGCUCCGAUUAGAUCCCUAGCCUGGGAACCUCCAUAUGCCAAGGGAACGGCCCUAGAAAAGGCAAAAAGACCAAAAAAAAAAA